rnacentral:rRNA from 1 species
UACGAAGGGGGCUAGCGUUGCUCGGAAUUACUGGGCGUAAAGCGCGCGUAGGCGGCUAGAUAAGUCGGAUGUGAAAGCCCCGGGCUCAACCUGGGAACUGCAUUCGAUACUGUUUGGCUAGAGUAUGAGAGAGGGAGGUAGAAUUCCACGUGUAGCGGUGAAAUGCGUAGAUAUGUGGAGGAAUACCGGUGGCGAAGGCGGCCUCCUGGCUUAAUACUGACGCUGAGGUGCGAAAGCGUGGGGAGCAAACAGG